UACGUAGGGUGCAAGCGUUAUUCGGAUUUACUGGGCUUAAAGGGUGCGUAGGUGGACUUGUAAGUCAGUGGUGAAAUCUCCGAGCUUAACUUGGAAACUGCCAUUGAUACUAUUAGUCUUGAAUACUGUGGAGGUUAGCGGAAUAUGUCAUGUAGCGGUGAAAUGCUUAGAUAUGACAUAGAACACCAAUUGCGAAGGCAGCUGGCUACACAAAUAUUGACACUGAGGCACGAAAGCGUGGGGAUCAAACAGG
rnacentral:rRNA from 1 species